rnacentral:lncRNA from 1 species
AUGGAAGAACUGGAUGAAGUCUCCUUUGAUCGGAUGACUAAACAUGCAGAAGGAAGAGCUAUAGUAGCAAUGGGGAGUUUCAACUACUCUGAUAUUCAUUGGAAAACAAACUUUGCCAAGAGUAUGAAGUCCAACAAAUUCCUCACUUGCCUUGCAAACUAUUUUAUUGUCCAGAAAGUAGAAGGGCAACAAGGGGAUCAGCCAUUCUGGAUCUGAUUCUAACCAACAGUGAAAGUGAUAGGAUCCUUAGGUGAGAGUGACCAUGUGCUUCUGGAGUUUGUGAUACAAAGGAAGGGUGAAACUUAGAGAAACCAAACACACAUUCUAGGCUUUAGGAGAGCUGACUUCAGGAAAUUUACAAAAAUACUUAGCAUGAUUCCAUGGACAGGAAUACUGAAAGAGAAGGAGUUAAUGAUUAAGGGGAGUUUCUUACAAGUCAGAUACUGAAGGUACAACUGCAAACAGUGCCAGCAAGGAGAAAAAUAUAAGAAGUGUAAAACAACCAGAAUGUAUGUCCAAGGAACUUUUAACUGAACUAAGAUUAUAAAGAGUAAUGUACAAGAAAUGGAAAAGGGGGGAAAUCACCAAAGAAUAAUUCAAACAAAUAACCAACAUAUGUAGGGAAAAGGUUCAUAAGCCUCAGGCACAAAAUGAAUGCAGGUUUGUUUGCCAGAAAGAUUAAAAAGGGGUUCUUUCGUUAUGUGAAUAGAAAAAGGAAGGAAAAAGAAAUGGUAAGGCCUCUGUGUGAAGAAAUGCUAAUAGGGAAAAGACAGAGCUGCUCAACAUCUUCUUUGCCUCAGUCUUCUCCCAAAAGGAGAUUGGUGUUCAACCUGAGCAGUACGGAGUGGAUGGGGUAAUAGGGGAAAUGCAACCCAAAAUAAGUAAAGAAGUAGUCCAGGCAUACCUGGCUACUCUAAAUUAAUUCAAGUCUCCAGGGCCAGAUUAACUACAUCCAAGAGUAUUGAAGGAACUAGCAGAAAUAAUUUCAAAACUACUGGCAAUAAUCUUGGAGAAUUCUUGGAGAACAGGAAAAGACCC